CUUCCCUUCCCUUCCCUUCCCUUCCCUCUCUCCGGGCACCCCAAGUGCCGGCAGCACACCCUGUUCUCGUCAGUGCUUAAUUGUCCCCCUUGCUGCCUUCUUCACCUUUCGGUGUCACGGCGCCUGCCCUCGUGUUCGGACCCCUGACCCGCCCUGGUUCCCGUGCUGCCAGCUGUCCCUGCUGCCCGCCAGGCCUCGCUCCAGGGCCCUUCCAGCCGCCUUUCGCGCAGGGAAGAAGGGAUGGCGGCGGCUCUCGCAGCGGCUGCGCCCGGCGCUUGCUUGGGCAAAGCGGGAUUGUCUGCAAAGGGCAGGUGGGAAGAGCCCCUCGCAGCCCGGGCUGCCCAGCGCUCUGGCACAGGACUCCUGGGCGAACAUCUGCUGGUGACUGUGGCUUGCUGAGAGGACAGCUGUUUCCAAUCUACAUGAAGGACAUCAGUUGAACUGCAUUCAGAGGAGGUGAGACAUGCAAGAAAAGGAGAUAAUUUGGAAAAGCAGACUUGGAACAGACAAAAGGAAUCCUGGCAGUGAGCUGGGGGAACCUGAAGUGUGUGAACACUGAGGUGGAAAUCAGGGGAUGGAGAGGAGACUGAAGCACAACAAAGCAUGGAGGCAACUGGGAAGUGGUGUGUGGGAAAAGGAUGUCAAGGAUCUAAUUUUGGCCUCUCUGCACAUUAUUCUGAGCUCAUUUGAGAACACUUGAGCUCAAUCAGAUGGUCUUCCCAUCCAUUACUGACUCCUUGGUAAAUAAAUCUGGCUAUGAAGACAGAAUCACACAUUUCUUUCUGAUACUGUCAUGGUGAAUAUUAUCAAAAAAACACCAAAAGUUCACAAAAUAAAGUGUUUGCUGAACACCUCUGAAGAGGAAGAGCGCUGCCAUCAUAUUACAAACAGAAAACCAGAGCCUGGAAGUACUUCCUGAUUAUUCAAUCCAAGAAGUAUAUUGUACCAGCUGCAUGAACCAGGUUAUUCACCUAUGACUACAACCAAGUCCCAGCUACUAGUGUGGGAUUCCAGAAAGAAGUAUUUUCUGCAUUUUGAUUUAUCUCUCCUGGUUAUAAAAACAUAAAUUGUGCAGCACACUUCACUGGGACCACAGAGCUCCAAACUGAUGAGACAGGCAAGAACAUGAAAAUGAGCACAAGAGAAACCCCACUGUGUUUGCUUCAAGCCUUGCCAUCAGAGCCACUCUGCUAAAAAGUGACCUAGAAUUGCAGUGUCACAGCAAUCACAUAAGAACACCAUUGGCUAAGGACGACACAUUGGAGGUUGAAUGUGAGAAGAAACAGCUGGAUUGUAUCACCACAACCUCCAAAAGUUUGUGGUGGUCCCAUGACCCUUAAUUUCACAUUAGCGUAACUCCCAAAAGACUUAUGUAAUUAAGCUAAGAAACAAAAUCUUAUUGAAGCAAUUUAUUACGCGCAAAUUACAUCCAACUUCAGGGACACUAGCCCUUAAGGCCAACAUCUGACAGGCUUUUCAGAUUCCUAAACUUGCCAGAAUUUGUUAUAAUUAACAGCAGGAACAAGCAAGCCUGAACUUCCCUUCAAGAGACAAAACAGAAAUGCAAAUCAUGAAUUACAAGCAAACAUUAUGUUGGGGACAGCAUUAGUCAAGAACCUUGUACAAUUUGGGUUAAAUGAACACUAACAAUUUGUGUGGGAGCCAAAUGGACUGACUUUCGUGUGGGAGAUAAUUUCCUAAUAAAACCUUCUAUCUGGCUGAAUAACAGAUACAAGCACUGAAUGUUUAUAAUGCUUCUAGUGACCAAGCACAGCAGAAGGAAGGGAUUGAAAAUAAUAAAGUGGAUUGAGCAUUUUCUGUUCUUGAGCUGUGACACUGUACUCCUCCUUUGGUGGGACAGGAUUCACACCAACACAGGGCCUCAGAGCAGGAAUCACUGCAGCCCUGGGAUUAAUAAAUGAGGUGCAACAGCCUCCAGGAAAGGAAUUGAAUCCGUGGAAUUUUUAAUUGCAAACCAA